GGAUGCUAUCAUACCAGCACUAAAGCACCGGAUCCCAUCAGAACUCCGAAGUUAAGCGUGCUUGGGCGAGAGUAGUACUAGGAUGGGUGACCUCCUGGGAAGUCCUCGUGUUGCAUUCC
rnacentral:rRNA from 2 species